UACGUAGGGUGCGAGCGUUGUCCGGAAUUAUUGGGCGUAAAGGGUGUGUAGGCGGUCCUCUAAGUUUGGUGUGAAAUCUCCCGGCUCAACCGGGAGGGUGCGCCGAAAACUGGGGGACUAGAGUGCGGGAUGGGAGAGUGGAAUUCCUGGUGUAGCGGUGAAAUGCGUAGAUAUCAGGAGGAACACCGGUGGUGUAGACGGCUCUCUGGACCGUAACUGACGCUGAGACACGAAAGCGUGGGUAGCAAACAGG
rnacentral:rRNA from 1 species